AGAUGUAUUGCAGCCUCUGGAUUCACCAACUGAUGGUGUUAUUGACGGGCUUGUGAGGCAGGCUUCAGAAACAAGGGAAGCUCCAAUCCCAUCUGUUUCUAAUAGCCUUCCCCUGCGGACUGCAGCUGCUGUUUCAUCUCGUAUGCCUUUGACUUUGUAUCAUGACCCACUUCAAAUUGAAAUGGAAAGAAUAAUGAAAGAAAAAGAGCAAACCACCAAUAUUCAUGAAGAAUCGAAGCUGCAGCUGAAAUUGGAAUGUGACAAGGAGAAUGAGGUAGUUGUAGCUCAGAUUAGUAGAAAGUAUGAUGUUACAUUUAAGGAGAAAGAAGCAGAGUUUCUUCUCCAG